UGGUCGCAUCAUGAUCAAUUUUCGAUUGUAUUCGCUGUGUUAGCUGGUGAGAUUGUUUGGAGUUUUUCGUUUGUUAAAAGGAUUCAGUAGAUACCUGUCUAUAUUGUUUCCUUUGUCUAGAUCACAUAAUGCAAUAUUAACGAGACUACCAGUUUAUGGAUUUCUUCAUUGGAAACUACGAAGCACUAUUAUUCGGCCGAACAAGUAGUGUCAGCUUAACGCAAUUUCAGCGCUAAAGUAGCAAGCAGGGACUGGAGCUAAAAUGGAUAGACUGAGCUUAGUACUGUACCUUGCGAGAGGCAAUUCUUUCCAAGAUUGUUAACGCGAGCGAAUGGAUUCGCUUCCUAGUUUUACAUAUAUUAUGAAGACGUUUUUUUUUUGUUUGUUUGUCUCUGCAACUGCUGAACCGAUUUGUAAAAUUCUUUCACUGUUGAGAAAGUAUAUUAUCCUCGAAUAACAGGCUAUAUUUUAUCGGGCAGUACAGUAGUUCCCGCGGGACGCGAGUGAAACCGCGGGAAAACAGCUAUUCUGGAAUAUGCAUAGAAAAAGUCCACUAUGUCUUUGCAUAAAUUGCCUAAUUAAAAUAACAGCAGUUAGCAGUUGAAACCAAAAAACUCAUGUGUGUAGAGAAGACACAUCUAUAUAGCAAUUAUAAUGUAAUAUGAUGGAUGACUUUGGAAAAGAAUAGGUACUCAAUUUAGUUUAAUCCUCCUCCUCCGAGCCUUUUCCCAACUAUGUUGGAGUCGGCUUCCAGUCUAACCGGAUUUCGCUGAGUACCAGUGCUUUAAAAGAAGCACUGCCUAUCUGACCUCCUCAACCCAGUUCCUCAAUUUAGUUUAAUCUUUUCCUCAAUAUUUAUAAAACUGGUUUUACAAACAAGUAUUAGUACUUCUAUAAAUCUAGUUAUGAAUCAUAGUGUCUUCCUAUUUUGUACUAAAACAUAUCUUAAAUUCAAGCAUACAGCUACUUAAUUUUACAGAAUUUACGAUCAGUUAUUCAAAUUUUAAACCUUUAUCACAUUGAAAUUAAAAAGCUGUUGCUAUUGUU